rnacentral:lncRNA from 1 species
UUCGAAUGGAUAUGAAGGAUGAUGGUUGCCCUGAGGAUCUUUUUAACAUCACCCUCAGCAAUACUCCCUUUGAUUAUGCUCCUUGGAGUAUAAACCCUAGUUUUAUAUACGAUUUCCUCCCUGAAAAGUAGAAUCAAAUACCCAUUACCUCAAAAUGCCCCAUAAAAGUUACGACUGCCGGAGGUUUCUACAGACAAACGGAACCGGCAACCACAUAUUCAAUCAUGUGGUAACAACAUCCUAGUUUGGAUUCUUGCUGGCUUUGAGGAACUUUACAACCCUAAAGCAACAGUAAAGAUAUGUCUUGAAUUGGACUACAAAUUAAGUUGACUGGAAACCUCACUCGUUAUGUACCACAACAAGAGAUGGACAAUGUGGAUAUUAUCCGUCUAGGUUUUGAAGUUUACAUUUUGAUCAUAAAACUUCAUCUCUUUCACUUUCUUUCAAUCUCUGACUGUGGAGAGAUGAGAGAGGCACUGAAGAUGAAAAUAAUGAGAGAAAGCUUCAUAUCGGCUAUGAAAAUCACAUAUCUCGGUGUCAAUUAGUUUUUCUUAAAUAAAAGAGUCUAAUGAAGGUGAUUGAAAUUUUAAAGAAUUUGUUGAAAAAAGCAGAUUGAAAUUUUAAAAAAUAUAUUUUGAUUUAAUUUCAUUUUGAGUUUUUGAACUGAUUAAGAUGUGUUUUAGAAUUGAAAUAAGAUUAUAGAGGUUUCUAACAUGUUUUUUUUUUUUGGUGUUUUAAGUAAAAAUAAGUUAAAAUUUGAGUUUUAAGAGUCAGAAAACUCAGACCUCAAUUUUCUAGUUGUCGCACUCGACAUCGCGGCGGCCUUAAAAAUUAUCAUGGAAAAGAAUGGAUUUCUGGCAUCCUGUUCUUUAACGGGGAAUGAUAUUAUUUAAGGAGUCGCCACCUAGUAUUAUGGUUACUAGGAACCCUAACUGGUCAACAGAGAUUCUAUGGUACGAGACUAGUUACGUAAAAGGGAAGAUAUUAUCACCCCUUGAGGGCAGGCUGCAUUGCUGACUUUGUCAUAAAUUGCUAAUGUUUUGUUCGUUUAUGCUACGGUGGUUUUGCGUGUAAUAUUCCUGACUCUGACGUCAGUGAAUAUUUAACUACGGAUAUUUUCAACUUUGGUGUUGAAAAAUAUUACGUAGCUAUAAAAAUAAAAUAAAUCUAAAUCAGUAUUUUUUAUUCCUGACUCUGGUGUCAGUGAAUAAACAAAUCAAAUAAAUUUAUUUUUUACGCAUACACAUUUUUUUAUGUGACUAAAUAAAAGUAAAAUACAAUAAAAUAAAAUAAAUUUAUAUCAGUAUCUUUAUUCCUAACUCUGGCGUCAGUGAAUAAACCAAUAAAUUUACUUUAUUUUAUUUUAUUUUUGCAAGCAUAUUUUUUUAUGUAAUUUAAAUAAAAUACAAUGAAAUAAAUUUGAAUCAAUAUUUUUAUUCUGAUUCUGGCGUCAAUGAAUAAAAAUAAUAAAUUUAUAUUUAUUUUUUUAUUUAUACAUACACACAUCUUUGUUUUUUAUUUUUUUAUUUUUUUGGGCUGGGCUAGGCCCAGCCAGCUCAUAUUUUUGGGUUGGGCCCAGCUCAUCCCACAUGGGCUGGGCUAGACCCAGCCAGCCCAGCCCGGUCACUGGCCCAAGCCAGUGACCCGGCUGGGCAAAAAAAAACUAAAAGCACACGUGAAGUGAAUUCACGCGUGCAUGAACACUGUUCUUGUAACAAUUCAAUUUGAAAUGAAGAUGCAAAAGUGGAUGAAGAAACGGGCGUACCUGCUUCUGGAGAUCGAAGAUGCUUGCAGCGCUGAUGAUGAUUCUCGCCUACUGCUUCUCUUUGUCUUCCUUCUGUUCUCACUUGUCUGUAUUUUCCUUUUGUUUUCUCAGUAGCUUUUAAAACUACGAAGAUGAUGCUGGCCUGCUGUGAGUUUUCUUUGACUGAUUCCGGGUCUUUCCUUUGUUUGCAGGGACGAAAACAAUGGAAAAGCCAAUACUCCUAUCUGUCCUGCUCCUUUACUUUUCCUUCUCUUUUCUGUGUUUUGUUUUUUUGCUCUGUAUUUCUGCUCUGUUUGUCUUCGAUUUUCGGUUUUUCCUCUCUUCUGGGUUUUUCUUCCCCU